rnacentral:rRNA from 1 species
GCGCCCACGACGAGACCCCAGGUCAGGCGG